rnacentral:rRNA from 1 species
ACGUUCGGAUUGCAGUCUGCAACUCGACUGCAUGAAGCCGGAAUCGCUAGUAAUCGCGGAUCAGAAUGCCGCGGUGAAUACGUUCCCGGGUCUUGUACACACCGCCCGUCACACCAUGGGAGUCGGAAAUGCCCGAAGCCGGUGGCCUAACCGAUAAGGGAGGAGCCGUCGAAGGCAGGUCUGAUGACUGGGGUGAAGUCGUAACAAGGUAUC